GGCUACCAUGCAAGUCGAGCGGAAUGCACAGGAGCGUGUGCUACCUGUGCAUUUAGCGGCGGACCGGUGAGGAAUGCCGACGAAUCUGCCUGGAAAUGGGGGAUAACGUUCCGAAAGGAACGCUAAUACCGCACACGUCCUACAGAAGAAACCGAGGGACCUUCCGGCCUUGCGCUAUCAGAUGAGCCUACGUCGGAUUAGCUAGUUGGUGAGGUAAUGGCUCACCAAGGCGACGAUCCGUAACUGAUCUGAGAGGAUGAUCAGUCACACUGGAACUGAGACACGGUCCAGACUCCUACGGGAGGCAGCAGUGGGGAAUAUUGGACAAUGGGCGAAAGCCUGAUCCAGCCAUGCCGCGUGUGUGAAGAAGGUCUUCGGAUUGUAAAGCACUUUAAGUUGGGAGGAAGGGCAUUAUCCUAAUACGGUAGUGUUUUGACGUUACCGACAGAAUAAGCACCGGCUAACUUACGUGCCAGCAGCCGC
rnacentral:rRNA from 1 species